rnacentral:lncRNA from 1 species
AUCACCACCAAGGCCAAUGUCGACUAUGAGAAAAUUGUCCGUGACACCUGCCGGGGGAUUGGAUUCACAUCCGAUGAUGUUGGACUUGAUGCCGAUCACUGCAAGGUGCUUGUCAACAUUGAGCAGCAAUCUCCUGACAUCGCCCAGGGUGUCCAUGGCCAUUUCACUAAGCGCCCCGAGGAGAUCGGUGCUGGCGACCAAGGUCACAUGUUUGGUUACGCAACUGAUGAGACCCCAGAGUUGAUGCCCCUCAGCCACGUCCUUGCGACGAAGCUUGGUGCUCGCCUCACUGAGGUUCGUAAGAAUGGCACCUGCCCCUGGUUGAGGCCUGAUGGCAAGACCCAGGUGACUGUUGAGUACCACAAUGACCAUGGCGCCAUGAUUCCCAUCCGUGUCCACACCGUCCUCAUCUCGACCCAGCAUGAUGAGACUGUUACCAAUGAUGAGAUUGCUGCUGACCUCAAGGAGCAUGUCAUUAAGCCCGUCAUCCCUGAGCGAUACCUUGAUGAGAAGACCAUUUUCCACCUCAACCCAUCUGGCCGUUUCGUCAUUGGUGGGCCUCAUGGCGAUGCAGGCCUCACUGGCCGCAAGAUCAUUAUUGAUACUUAUGGUGGCUGGGGAGCUCAUGGUGGUGGUGCCUUCUCUGGCAAGGAUCCCACCAAGGUUGAUAGGAGUGGCGCCUAUAUUGCAAGGCAGGCAGCCAAGAGCAUUGUUGCCAGUGGGCUUGCUCGCCGCUGCAUUGUGCAGGUAUCUUAUGCCAUUGGCGUGCCAGAGCCUCUCUCAGUGUUUGUGGAUACCUACGGCACAGGCAAGAUUCCUGAUAAGGAGAUCUUGAAGAUUGUGAAGGAGAACUUCGAUUUUAGGCCUGGGAUGAUCAUCAUCGACCUCGACUUGAAAAGGGGUGGCAAUGGGAGGUUCUUGAAGACAGCAGCUUACGGCCAUUUUGGCAGGGAUGACUCCGACUUCACCUGGGAGGUGGUGAAGCCCCUCAAGUGGGAGAAACCCACCGCCUAGAUCACUCUGUGUCUACGUUUACGUGGUCACAACAAUUACAUUGUGUCUGCUGCUGCCAUCUCUCUUCUGGUCCUAAUCUUCAAAGGGUGCUUGUUUCGAGAUAUCCUUUUUUGUUUGAUUUGUCUCACCCAUUUAUUGUGUUUGGUAACGCAAGAUUUUAGUUGUCCCCUUUUUGUUUGAUUUGUCCCACCCAUUUAUUAUGUGUGGUAACAACUUUGCUAUUUAGUCUUGAGCUCUCUGAAAGAAGAGAAAAGGUGUAUUACAUUGUGGAGAGGAAUGCCUCUGAGCUGUUUGGAGACAUGUAAUAGCAAAGUAUUAAGUUAAAAAGAAACAAUAUUUCCUCUUUUCUCAUACUUUCCACAUGGAUUAUUGUGGGAGAGAAACUACAUUAUCUAUUGGCCAGAGUAAACUGCUGUGAUCUAAUUCCAGAUCUACUGAACCAAAUGACUAGUUUGUUCCUUUUCAUAGUAUUUCUUUUCCUUUUCUUUUAUCAAAGAAUAAAGGCAAAUUUACCGUCUUCCUGCACUGCAGUGGUGACGAAACACUCCCCCUUUUAGAUUUUUUUUUAUAAAAAAAUUAUUUGCUGUGGACCUAAGAGAGGAGCUACAAUGAUAGGAUUGCUUCAUUACCAGAUUCUGGUAAGGGAAAAAUUGUUAACAGGCCUUUUCAGACAAAGGCAAUGGAGAGCACCUUCAAAACAUCUGAAGAGCUGGGCCAGCGAGACAGUAUUUGCUUAUUAGUUCUUGAACGAUCCACUUGCUUUUCACUGGCCAUAUGAUUCUGUAAAUACUUUAGGUUACAAAAGAACAGAGACCAAGUCUGACUAGUCUGAUAUUUUCUGAUUUACUUACUAAUUAUUGACGACAAAUUUGAGGAAAAAUCUUGGAUCAAAUAUUAAUUUCUUAGUUUUUAUUUACAAAGGUAUUCGAAAAGUUGCUUCAUUGUUGCAUGCUUCUUUCUUUCCAUUAUUUACUUCUUAAGAUAGUUCUUCCUAAACUUUUUUUUGAAGAAUUUUCUACAUUUUCCACAAAUUCUGAAAGUUUUCUCAUAGCUGAAGCUUUGCCCUUUAACAAUUACCUAUUUACUUCUGAAAGCACUAAAACCUCUUGGAGUCUUAACUUGCAUGUGCUCAUAGUGGGACUCUACACAUGUGGAACUAUUUGUUAGGGUAUGUAAUGGAUCUAAGAGCUUGUGAACAGCUCAAAUCUAGUCAUGAUCUAAGUGUGAAUCUUUUCUAGACAAACUAAAGCUUGAUGUUGGGUUUUAGGCUUGAAAUGAGCUUUAAGCCGAGCCUCAACGACUGGCUUGUUAGUGCUUGGCUCAGCUAGGCUUGUUCGCACAAAAAUUACAGAAGAAAAGCUCAAGUGGAUCAUACCGACACUGCCUGUCAUGGUUCGGCACGAGUCCUCCUGUUCCGUUGAUUGACAUCUUCAGAUUCUUAGCAGGUCGGACUGUCGGUGAUCUGAGAUUUCUCCUGUUCCACUGAUUAGCAUCUUCAAAUUCUUAGCAGGUUGGACUGUCGGUGAUCUGAGAUUGGGCUUGGUUCGGUUGUCUCCUCCUCUUCAUUCCAGGUGGAAGUCUGGUUGUUGACUACCUUUUAUUAAGGGCAGAUAGCAUGCAUGUCACAUGCCUUUGCCUUAAAACAACAAAAUUUACCGGAGUCGCCCAUCCAAUAAAAGCCUUCGAGAUAAACUUCUUUGUUGUAAUUUUUCUUUACUAGUUUUCACACUGUUCCACUACCAGUGAUGGAGUUCAUAGCAAGAAAUGAUACCCUACACCAUAUGUACCACACGGUGGUGCACCACGCAAAUCAUUUUGUCUCGUUCUUGAGAGUCUUAUUAAUCAUGCGCUCGUCUUUGAUUACCAUCCUUUGGUCCCAUAAUUCCAAAAUUAUGAAAUUUGUUGAAAUAGACUUCUAAUGGAUCUCUUUUUCCCGAAAUCCUUGUUAUUGUAGCAUCUGUCAGCCUCUCUAAUCUAUCCUGCUUCUCUCUUCACACAUUACUCCUCCUAAGAGAGAUUAAGUAUUGACAAUUGAGCAUGAAUUGCAGCAUCCCUAAUUGUGCAGGACCAUGGACUCUUGUAUUUGUUGGUACAGGCAAGAUAAAUUGUAACACGUGGGGCCAUUGAGCUGGUGCCAAGGAUGGAAUGCUGCUAGAUUUGUUCUGCUGUCUCUGUCUUUUCUAUCAAUUCCAAAGGAGAAUGUGGCUUGUUUUGAUCCAAAAAUCCGUCGGUGACAAAGACCUUGCUUUGUGCUGCGAUGGAGACGCACCACUAUUGUCGGUGUUGGGGCUGGGGAGGGAGCUAUCGACGACAAAGAACUUGCUUUCCAUCAUCAUCCAUUUGACAAAUAUGGCCUGUUUGAUCUACUUUGUUCUUGCAACUAGAAUAAUGAGCAUCCAUUUCUCGCCCAAGUGAGAAAUUCUCAAUUUACCAAGGGGAUUCAGACAUGGUACACAGUUGAAUGCGCAUCUGAUGACUGGCGUUCCACCUUCAUGGGCUGAUAUGAGGACGUAAAAUCAUCUUUCUUCUUGGAGAAUGAACCGGUACCUAUAGGGAGCGUUUGGUAUGGGGUGAUCGUCCUAGGAUAAGGGUGAUGUGGGUGGAGGUGAUGAGAUCACCCGUUUAGUUGCACCACGGUGAUUCUACGUAGUGGUGAUCUUAAAUCACCUCCACUCCUCAAAUCACCCUCCAACUCGGUGAUGGGAUAUCUGUCCUUGAGGUCGGGAAUCCAAGAUCACCCCAGGUUAGUGAUCUUGGGUUAAAAGUUAAACACAAAAAUACCCCUCAAGUUAGCAGAAAAAAUGAUAUAUCAAUAUACCAUCAAUACAUUAUUUCAAUGUUAUAUAUAUAUAUAUAAUGUUGAUAUUAUAUAUUAUAUUAAUGAUAUAUUAUAUUAUAAUAUAUUACUAAUCAUAUUAUUAUCCUAUUAUUAUUGAAGGAUAAUUUUAAAUUCUAGUAAAAAUAUAUUAUUAUAUUUUAUAUUUAUAUAAUGAAAAUAUUUAAUAUAUUACUAUAUUACUUCUAUUUAACUUAUUUUUCUAAUCAAAAUAAUUAUUAAUAUUAAGAAAAUAUAUUAUAAGUAUAAAUAAAAAUAAUAAUUCUAAAAUGAAAAAUAACAUAUUUUUAUAAGAUUAAUAAUUUAUAGGAGUAAUAAAUAUAUUUUUAUAGAAUAUAUUAAUAAUUAAUAUAUCGAUAAAUAUAUUGAUAUUUUAUUAUAAUAUAUAUAUUAUGAUUAAUAAAUAUAUGAUAAGGGCUACUAAAAGUAGAAUAUGUGAUAAAAUUAUGGAGCUAUUAUAGGAAUUAGUAUAUUGACUUACAUUUUUAAUUCAUGAGAAUUAAAAAUACAUAAAAAAUCCAUCUAAGAUAUAUCAAGGGUAUUUAUGGUAUUAUGUAGUCAGUGAUCUUGGAUCCCCGUGCCAUACCAAACAAGUUACUCAUGGAUAUCCGGAGAUUUUUAAUCACUGGACCAUGGCCUACCAAACACAUUGAUCUUAGGUCACUGGGGAUCAAAUCACCCCAGCAUUCGGAUCGCCGGGAUCUUAGAUCACUGUGGUGAUCUUGUUGGAGUCACCAAACACCCCCAUAAGAGUUGACUUCACAAGUAAUAGAUCUCACACAGUAUUUGUUUUGUCCAAGUCCUACCUAGCACUUGUAGAAACCAUAUGUUAACCAGAGUUCUUUUACAGCGACAAAAAAAGAUCAACUAAUGCAUAAGGCUGCAAAUAGAUCAGGUUGACCCAUAAUCUGAUCCGACCUGACUCGAUCUAUUUUGGAGGACCCACGGGGUUGGGUCAUGUCGGAUUUUAAAAUUUGACCUGUUCUAUUUUUCGGGUUGGAUCUGGGUUCAUUGAAUUCAGAUUUGAUCCGACUCAUUUGAAAUUUCGAUAAUUUUGGAUUUUCAAUCCUACGACUCGACCCGUACUGUAAAAUUAUUUAGGAUCGUUGGCUGCAACCAGAGGGGGUGCAACAUAAGUUCUAAAGCCAUAGAUAGGUUGACCUAAAUCAUAUUCGAAUUUUUUAGAUUGGAUCCGAGUUAUACAUGGAUUCGACCCGAUCUGAAUAAUCCGUUGGAUCAAAAAUUGUAGCGGUGGACCCGAUCUGACCCGACUCAAUCUUCUAUCGGAUCGAAUCUAAAUCCAAAAUUAGGAUCCAAAUAAGAAAUUAGGUUGGAGUUACUUAUGACUCUAUCUGACCCAUGUGCAUCCCCUACUAAUGUAGUAUAUUAUUGGCUUCGUUUACUGUUGAGCUGGCAAAUCUGAUUUGCCCAAUAAUUUUCUAUAAAGAGCUGUCAGGGUUGUAUCUUUCGCAGUUUACCUAGGACGUAAACUUACCUUUCUUAUCAGAGGAUGACCCAGAACCUAUUAUAAGACUCCCCUACACAAGUAAUAGAUCCAACACAUUCUUCGGUUUUGUCGAAGUCCCGCCCAACACCUGUAGGAACCACACAGUAACUGAAGAUCUUUUAUACCCACAAAGAGGGGAUUAGUUGAUGUAGGAUAUUAUUGGCUUGGUUUAUUGCUGAGUUGGUGCUCGGUAGAUUGGAUUCACCUAAUAAUUUCUUCAUGGAGGAUUUAAUCUUUUGUGUGAAAAAAAAAUUAUCUUUUUUUCUCUCGCAAGAAUCGACUAUUGAAUCAUCCACAAAUCUUAAAACAUUCCAAAUUCAUUGAUAUUAUAGUGAUUGGUGGACGAUGCAAUAAUGGUUUCGCUCUAAAGGAGACACCCCUGAACCUACAAAGAAAUAUCUUUUGGGUCUCAUGAAUUCGUUGACUUUAGAUAUUUUAAAGACCACAUAAUAUUAAUUCAUACGGAAGAUAAUCUGCAUAGAAAUUAUAUGAGGACGGACGUACGGAAGUUUUAUAUAGGAUUUUUUUGCAUGGAUAUCCUUCUAAAUAUCAAAAUUUGUAUGAAUAUCCUUUUCAAAAUCGAUAUUUACAUAUAUACCCUCGUAAAACUCUGUUAUUGUACAAAUACCCCUAUAAGAACAAUUAUUCUAACGAUGUUAAAAAAUAUAUAUAUUUAUAUUAAUUAAAAAUAAAUAAAAAUUUAAAAUGACAUUAUUAUCCUUAUCCUCCUCCAACCUUCCCACCA